rnacentral:rRNA from 1 species
AGGACGAACGCUGGCGGCGUGCUUAACACAUGCAAGUCGAGCGGAAAGGCCCUUCGGGGUACUCGAGCGGCGAACGGGUGAGUAACACGUGAGCAACCUGCCCCUGGCUCUGGGAUAGCCUCCGGAAACGGGGAUUAAUACCGGACAUGACCUGCUGCCGCAUGGUGGCGGGUGGAAAGUUUUCGGCCAGGGUGGGGCUCGCGGCCUAUCAGCUUGUUAGGGGGGUGACGGCCCACCAAGGCGACGACGGGUAGCCGGCCUGAGAGGGCGACCGGCCACACUGGGACUGAGACACGGCCCAGACUCCUACGGGAGGCAGCAGUGGGGAAUAUUGCGCAAUGGGCGGAAGCCUGACGCAGCGACGCCGCGUGCGGGAUGAAGGCCUUCGGGUUGUAAACCGCUUUCACCAGGGGCGAAGCGAGAGUGACGGUACCUGGGGAAGAAGCGCCGGCUAACUACGCGCCAGCAGCCGC